CCGUAACGUACAGGGCUCGUUGCAUAUUUUAUUAACGUGUAUCGUGUUGUUGGAUCGCGGCCAUUGUGAAUCAGCUACUUCCAAGUAGUGGCACAGCCUUGGAAUUAAAUUUAGACGAUCGAAGCCCCGACGCGAAUAAAAUACCCUAAGUAUCCUCAAACGAGUUGCACGAAGAAGAGGAAGGGAGAGAAGAUCGGCAGUCCGCGAAGGUAUCGGAGGCCACCUUGCAGCACAUCCAUGUACUACAAACGCAAGAGCACUUAUUAUUUACUACAUUAAAGAGCUACAUAACGGUGUACCACAAGCAGGCAAAAAGUUCCUUUAUGUCUCUCAUCCCUUUAUUAGCAUACCCUGCCUUUAGAGUGGUACUUAAUAGCAGCAUCUAAUUCAUGUUUUCCACCUGUAUAGGUUAUAUGCGCUUCGUGUUAUUCGCCAUGAUUACCGUAUUACCUUUUGUGUGGUAAUAACGUGUAAACGAAGCAAUAUCGCCUAUAUUGUGAUAAUACAAUAGUAAAAA
rnacentral:misc_RNA from 1 species